UGCAUUAGGUGUUCUCUCUCUCUCUCUCUCUCUCUCUCUCUCUCUCUCUCUCUCUCUCUCUCCCUCUCUUCUCUUUCUGUCUCUCACACAUCUACUCAUAGACGUCUACUCCAUUUCAGUCUGUCUGUUUUGUCAUUUCUCUUCUAACCUCCCUUAUUGCUGUCUUCCUCCUGAGAGUUUCCUCUUCAUGCGCAACAACUGGUAGCUUUCCCCCCUUUUCUCCUCCUCCUCUCUUCUCCAGUGCGGAAGGUCCGCUUAUCUUCCAGCACCUGUGCUUCGAAGGGUGUUGGAGUGCAAAGUGGGGAGGGUGCGGGGUUCCUGUGGUUUUUGGGCGCAAGCCAAGGAGGCAAGAGGAAGCCACGAGGUUUAGAGCUUCUUUCCAGCGUCAUCAUCAUCAUCAGCAGCAGCAGAAGCAGCAGCAGAGGCGGCAGAGACAACAGAAGAGACAGCACAUCCCUCAGUCUCUCGCUCACUCCGCUGCUCAAGAGGAAGAAGAGAAGCUCGCGGCUUUGUGCUCGCUCUGAGAGCUGCGGAGAAAAGAGAAACAGAAUAAUGGGGAGAGACUGACAGGCGUCCUUGGAUCCCGGCAUGUGUAUCUCCAUGUGGGGUGUCUGUGACCAUCUGGAUAAACCCACAACUGCUAUGAUCAGUCUCCAGUUCACCAUUCAGAUGCAACCUUUGACUGUCUUGCCUUGUGAAUAAAAGCCCCAUCUUCAAUCAAUCCCCAUAGAGAGAAGGUCUCUGGUGUUGGCCUGUGUGCCACGGUGGAUGAAUGAGUGACAGGCACUUCCCUCCUCCCUCUUCUUUCUGAGGCUCUCUUCGGUGACGGGUAUUCUUGGGUGGAUAAUACGGAUCACGUUGUUAUUGCUUAAGAAUACGCGUAGUUGAGGAGAGUCAUUUUCGACCGUGCCUUCAGGGAGCUGACCUCGGCUUAACCGCUCUCCAGAUGUCCUAGCCGAGUGCUGUUGUUAGAGGAGGGGGAAAAAAGAAGGGAAAUGAGUGAACGUUUCUAUCGAGGUUCAUUUAUCAGUGCAGCAGAUAAUCAUUUCCCCAGCGUUUACAUUGAUUUCUCUACGGCAAGCCUUCAUGUUGUUAUUACUCCAGCGUUCUAGCAAGUUGUAUCAGGAGGCUGGCGUUUCCUGCUUGCUGAGACUUCAUCCAUAUCUGCUGUGCAUUUAUAUUUCUCCCACCAUCUCACUAUCAUCCAUCCUGCCAAAGUGAUAUUUUAUGUAGUGCCAUUCAACCACUCUGCAUUCUGCAUUUUACACAAUUUGCUUGGUUUGCUUGGGGGGUGGUGUGUGGAAUG